GACGAACGCUGGCGGCGUGCUUAACACAUGCAAGUCGAACGGCAAGGCCCUGCUUUUGUGGGGUGCUCGAGUGUCGAACGGGUGAGUAACACGUGAGUAACCUUCCCUUGACUUUGGGAUUACUUCAGGAGUCUGGUGCUAAUACCGGAUAGGAGCUCCUGCUGUUUGGUGUGCGUUGGAUAUUUUCGGCGGUUGGGGAUGGACUCGCGGCUUAUCAGCUUGUUGGUGGGGUAGUGGCUUACCAAGGCUUUGACGGGUAGCCGGCCUGAGAGGGUGACCGGCCACAUUGGGACUGAGAUACGGCCCGGACUCCUACGGGAGGCAGCAGUGGGGAAUACUGCACAAUGGGCGGAAGCCUGAUGCAGCUACGCCGCGUGCGGGAUGACGGCCUUCGGGUUGUAAACCGCUUUCGCCUGUGACGAAGCGGGAGUGACGGUAAUGGGUAAAGAAGCACCGGCUAACUACGUG
rnacentral:rRNA from 1 species